UCAGGCAUAUUCGGAGUCUCAUGGGGGUAUCUGUGAAGAAGACAAGCACAAGAAAGCCUAAGUUCAGUACACACAGUAGGACUGAAUCAGUCACAAAAGCCUCUUCUGAGGGUAAGAAAUCAGCAAAAACUCCAAAUCAGCAAAGGAAACAGACUUAAAAUACAUGCUCAUUUCCAAAAGGAGGUCUGACUCCAUUCUUAUUUUUGCCGAUUUUUAGAUCCCAUAUAAUCUUGGAUAGAAAAAUGAUCUAUACUGCAUCAGAAUCAUGGAACCUAUUGGCAAAGGGCAUUCUGUCUCUUCAAUUGUAGCUUCAACCUCAUUGUCUAAU
rnacentral:lncRNA from 1 species